rnacentral:rRNA from 1 species
GACGAACGCUGGCGGCGUGCUUAACACAUGCACGUCGAACGGAAAGGCCCUGCUUUUGUGGGGUGCUCGAGUGGCGAACGGGUGAGUAACACGUGAGUAACCUGCCCUUGACUUUGGGAUAACUUCAGGAAACUGGGGCUAAUACCGGAUAGGAGCUCCUGCUGCAUGGUGGGGGUUGGAAAGUUUCGGCGGUUGGGGCUGGACUCGCGGCUUAUCAGCUUGUUGGUGGGGUAGUGGCUUUCCAAGGCUUUGACGGGUAGCCGGCCUGGGAGGGUGACCGGCCACAUUGGGACUGAGGUACGGCCCAGACGCCUACGGGAGGCAGCAGUGGGGAAUAUUGCACAAUGGGCGGAAGCCUGAUGCAGCAACGCCGCGUGCGGGAUGACGGCCUUCGGGUUGUAAACCGCUUUCGCCUGUGACGAAGCGUUAGUGACGGUAAUGGGUAAAGAAGCACCGGCUAACUACGUG